UACGUAGGGGGCAAGCGUUGUCCGGAUUUACUGGGCGUAAAGAGCGUGUAGGCGACCAAACAGGUCCGUUGUGAAAACUGGAGGCUUAACCUCCAGACGUCGACGGAAACCGUGUGGCUAGAGUCCGGAAGAGGAGAGUGGAAUUCCUGGUGUAGCGGUGAAAUGCGCAGAUAUCAGGAAGAACACCAAUGGCGAAGGCAGCUCUCUGGGACGGUACUGACGCUGAGACGCGAAAGCGUGGGGAGCGAACAGG
rnacentral:rRNA from 1 species